AACACGUGUUCUCUAACCAUAUACAACUUUCCUCCUAAACAUUUCAAAGAUUUUUUUAAGUUAGGUUUUUUCAAGGGCUGGAUGUGAUGGUACGCACCUGUCAUCUCAGUAACUGAGAGCUGGAGGGAGGAGCAUCAGGAGUUCGAAGCUAGCAUCAGCUACAUACUGAGUUUGAAGACAGCCCAGGCCACAUUACACCAUGUUGCAAGAAAGCAGAUGAGGGAAUUAAAUGGAUGAAUGAAUGAGCAAACCCAUUGGGUUUUUUUUUUUUUUAAUAGCUGCCACAACCAAGUAGUCCUUUUAAAGCACCAAGAGCCAAUUUGCCAGCCACCGAGCCUCCUCAUGGUCCCGGUGACUCCAACACUAACAUGGCCCCUCCCUCCUUUGGCUUUCAGCCCGAGACAGUGACGGAGCUGAGGAGGAUGUAGCUCUAACUGCACAUGGUACUCCCAUUCAGCUGCAGACUGUUGAUCCCAGCCAGGAGUAUCUCAUCCCACGAGCUACACUUAGCCCGCAGCAAGAUGCAGGAUUAUAGAGCUACCUGAAACAGAAUAAACACAACCUGGAAGACUGUGUCCUGACCGACACAACCCUAACAGGCCCAGGAGAAACUCACUGGACACACUGCCAAUGAAGUGUCCAUCCUGUCUGUCUCUCUGUUUCCUUGCCCUUCUGGACCCAUCUUCUGAAGUCAACCCUGUCCUGCACAAUUACAAUCUUGUUGCCACCCUA